rnacentral:rRNA from 1 species
GAUGAACGCUGGCGGCGUGCCUAAUACAUGCAAGUCGAGCGAACAGACGAGGAGCUUGCUCCCCUGACGUUAGCGGCGGACGGGUGAGUAACACGUGGAUAACCUACCUAUAAGACUGGGAUAACUUCGGGAAACCGGAGCUAAUACCGGAUAAUAUAUUGAACCGCAUGGUUCAAUAGUGAAAGACGGUUUUGCUGUCACUUAUAGCUGGAUCCGCGCCGCAUUAGCUAGUUGGUAAGGUAACGGAUUACCAAGGCAACGAUGCGUAGCCGACCUGCGAGGGUGAUCGGCCACACUGGAACUGGGACACGGCCCCGACUCCUACGGGGGGCAGCCGUAGGGAAUCUUCCGCAAUGGGCGAAAGCCUGACGGCGCCCCGCCGGGUGAGUGAUGAAGGUCUUCGGAUCGUAAAACUCUGUUAUUAGGGAAGAACAAAUGUGUAAGUAACUAUGCACGUCUUGACGGUACCUAAUCAGAAAGCCACGGCUAACUACGUG